rnacentral:rRNA from 1 species
UACGUAGGUGGCAAGCGUUGUCCGGAAUUAUUGGGCGUAAAGCGCGCGCAGGCGGUCCUUUAAGUCUGAUGUGAAAGCCCACGGCUCAACCGUGGAGGGUCAUUGGAAACUGGGGGACUUGAGUGCAGAAGAGGAGAGUGGAAUUCCACGUGUAGCGGUGAAAUGCGUAGAGAUGUGGAGGAACACCAGUGGCGAAGGCGACUCUCUGGCCCAACCCUGACGUUCAGGUACGAAAGCGUGGGGAGCAAACAGG